CCUACGGGUGGCAGCAGUGGGGAAUAUUGCACAAUGGGCGAAAGCCUGACGCAGCGACGCCGCGUGAGUGAAGAAGUUUCUCGGUAUGUAAAGCUCUAUCAGCCGGGAAGAAAAUGACGGUACCUGACUAAGAAUGCCUGGCUAACUACGUGCCAGCAGCCGCGGCAAUACGGCGGGGGCCAGCGUUAUCCGGAUUUACUGGGUGUAAAGGGAGCGUAGUUGGCGCGGCAAGUCUGGAGUGAAAAGCACGGGCUUAACCCCUGAACUGCUUUGGAAACUGCCAUGCUAGAGGGCUGGAGAGGUAAGUGGAAUUCCUAGUGUAGCGGUGAAAUGCGUAGAUAUUAGGAGGAACACCAGUGGCGAAGGCGGCUUACUGGACAGUAACUGACGUUGAGGCUCGAAAGCGUGGGGAGCGAACAGGAUUAGAUACCCUGGUAGUC
rnacentral:rRNA from 1 species